rnacentral:lncRNA from 1 species
UUAAGGGAAAAGUGGGUAAGGCUGGAGUAACUGUGCUCUGGCUUUUUCUCACUGCUGUAAUGUUCCAACAGAGGCCAUGGCAAGCAGCUGGAAGUUAGAAUAAUCCUGGCUGUGCCAGAGCUUGCACCAGAGAGGAAAAUGGACUUAGGUUUACAUUUCGUUUUUCAUCUCCUGCUAUGUGCAAGGAUUGUUUUUUAUGGCGUUUAUCUGCGUUUUCCUUAGAAACCUCAGGAGGACUGUCCACCCUUCAAAAUCUGUUAGGAUGUAUUUUAACUGCGUGAUAUCGGAGCCCAGCCGCUCUUGGUGGGUUGCAGAAAGAGGACAUAUAAUCACAAUACAUCUUCAGAGGCUGCAAGUUGGCCCCCUGUCACAGUGAUGUGCAUAGGUGAAAACAGUUGUGCUCUGGGUAAGUAUGCACAGCCGAGUUUUCUUUGGCAAAUUCAGUCCUAUGUCUACAUAAAUGCAAAGGAGUAGGGGCCCUAAAGACACGCAAAACACACUGGGCUCUCAGAGACUGACCCGCAAAUUAUAAAGAACAGUUCUUUAAGUGACAAGUUAAUUUCAGGCAGUGUUAUGUGAUAUCAUGGGGACAUCAAUUUCAGAGUAUAAUCUGUGUCUGUGAAUAUGAUGAGGGGGAAGAAGAUAGGAUCUGAAGUUGUUGGAUUGAAAAAAUACUUUAUUCCCUGUGAGUUAGAGAAUGGUGACUAUUCAAAGGACGUUAAAAAGUAUUUGCCUUUACAGCUUUCAGGUUAUUUUCUAUAGCAUGUUCUGUCUAAAGAUCUCAAAGCCGUCUUUGAGGUCAGGAAAAAGAUCCCAUUUUUCAAGUAGAAAAACAGAGUUUCUUGCCCCAAAUCACUCAGCCAAUCUGUAAGAAGAGGUAAGAGCACGAACACCUCCUGAGCUUUACUUAACCGAUCAGUCCUCUUUCUCAAGUCCUCCUGCAAAGUAUCUCAACUGUGUUGUAAACUCUUUAAGGCAGGAGGGCUGACAACUGUGUUGCGCCUGCUCAGGGACUGGCACAGCAUAGUUGGUCCCUAGAUGUUUUUGUAAUAAACAUGCUUAAUU